ACAGUCACACAUUAGAUACCCGUGUAGUCCCAGCCUAAACGAUGCGCGUUAGGUGUAUCGGUGACCACGAGUCACCGAGGUGCCGAAGGGAAACCGUGAAACGUGCCGCCUGGGAAGUACGGUCGCAAGGCUGAAACUUAAAGGAAUUGGCGGGGAGCACCACAACGGGUGGAGCCUGCGGUUUAAUUGGACUCAACGCCGGGAAGCUCACCGGAUAAGACAGCGGAAUGAUUGCCGGGCUGAAGACCCUGCAUGACCAGCUG
rnacentral:rRNA from 1 species